UACGUAGGGUGCAAGCGUUGUCCGGAAUUAUUGGGCGUAAAGAGCUCGUAGGCGGUUCGUCGCGUCGGCUGUGAAAUCCCGAGGCUCAACCUCGGGUCUGCAGUCGAUACGGGCGGACUGGAGUACUGCAGGGGAGACUGGAAUUCCUGGUGUAGCGGUGAAAUGCGCAGAUAUCAGGAGGAACACCGGUGGCGAAGGCGGGUCUCUGGGCAGUUACUGACGCUGAUGCGCGAAAGCCAGGGGAGCGAACGGG
rnacentral:rRNA from 1 species